UACGUAGGGUGCGAGCGUUAAUCGGAAUUACUGGGCGUAAAGCGUAUGCAGGCGGAUCGUUAAGUCGGGGGUGAAAUCCCGAGGCUCAACCUCGGAACUGCCUUCGAUACUGCGGGUCUCGAGUCCGGGAGAGGUGAGUGGAAUUCCUAGUGUAGAGGUGAAAUUCGUAGAUAUUAGGAAGAACACCAGUGGCGAAGGCGGCUCACUGGCCCGGUACUGACGCUGAGGCGCGAAAGCGUGGGGAGCAAACAGG
rnacentral:rRNA from 1 species